rnacentral:lncRNA from 13 species
AGGGAGUGCACGUAAUCCAUGAGAGGGCAGAGGAGCGGGCAGCCCUGGGAGUCGGAUGGGCUGAGACAAAACCGUGCUGCCAACUUCAUCUCUGAACAAAACCCCGGCUUCUCCACUUGAUUUCUGCGUGCAAGCCUAGUUUACGUGAGGAUGUGUUGCAAUAUUAAUUCCAGACCUCUCAUAGAAAUGAAUCCUUGGAAGGAGCUGAGGAAUCUCCCCCUAUCCUGCAAUGCCUUUGGGGAGAGAUGUGGGGAUGGAGAAGCCUGGAUGGGAUCCAGAGGCUGUCAGGCCUGGCUCUGCACAGCCAAAGACAACAUCAGGUGUUUGCCCUGGUCUGCUGUCGCCAGCUGUGCCUUACCUGUCACUCAGAGUGGGGUAACUUGGUUUUCUUUUCAAUGAGCAAUGACAAACCAAUAUGGUUACAAGGAAAUUUUGGGAAUAAUCUUCUGCUUUUCUGUAUCAAACAAUCUGCUCAGAGUAGAGAUAGUUAACGUCUUGUGUCCAUGAGGGGAGAGGGUGAAAAUUACUGAGACAGAGAGAUUAGGAGCAAGAGCAGAAUCUUUUGUCGUCACCAAGGCUUUCUGCAAGUGUUUCACAGUAGGCAAAAAUGAAAUAAAAUUGCAUCAGGAAUGAGUUUGGUUUGUAGGCUGGCUCCUGACUGAAGGCUAGUUUUUGGUCCACUUUGAUGUGUUGAAGAACAAGAACUUCCAGUACCAAUUCUGCUUAUGCACAUAAAUCAUGGGGGUUGGAGAGGAGGAGAAGUGACACUCUGGUUCUGUUCCUCCAUGAACGAGGGCUGCCGUCCAUCACAGUGGCUAUAAAGUGUCUGAGGCUGAUAACAAAUGCUCAGCAUUAUCUAAGUCAAGAGGCCAAAAGAGCCUGAAGUAUUUAUACACCUGUGGCUUGAAUAGCUGGGUAAUGAAUGACAAACCUUUUUCUUGCAUGUGUGGUUUGGGGGUUUUUUUUGCCAUUUCUAGCUUGCACUGCAACAAGUCUUGUGCCCUUUGGAUUGUUUAUACCUUGUCAAACCUGUUUUAAAUAAACCACUGUGCUGCACUUUCGGUUUGUCAGGGAAAUUGCUGCCCUCUCCUGGUUUGAAGCAAUUCUGGACCAGCUGAAGGCAUCUCCAAGCAAAUGCCAGUUGCAGUGUGAUAAUAUGAUCCAAUAUGAAAUUAAUUAAGGC